rnacentral:rRNA from 1 species
UACAGAGGUGGCAAGCGUUGCUCGGUAUCACUGGGCUUAAAGGGCGCGUAGGCGGUGCGGCACGGUUUCGGUGAAAUCCCUCGGCCCAACCGAGGAACAGCCGGGGCUACGGCCGCGCUAGACGGCAUCAGGGGACAGUGGAACUCCCGGUGGAGCGGUGAAAUGCGUAGAUAUCGGGAGGAACGCCGGUGGCGAAAGCGACUGUCUGGGGUGCCUGUGACGCUGAGGCGCGAAAGCCAGGGGAUCAAACGGGG